ACCGGUUGUGGUGGCGCAUGCCUGUAGUCCCAGUUGCUCGGGAGGCUGAGGUGGGAGGAUCGCCUGAGCCCAGGAGUUCUGGGCUGUAGUGUGCUAUGCCAAUCAGGUGUCCGCAGUAAGUUCGACAUCAAUAUGGUGACCUCCUGGGAGCAGGGUACCACCAGGUUGCCUAAGGAGGGGUGAACCGGCCCAAGUCGGAAAUGCAGCAGGUCAAAACUCCUGUGCUGAUCAGUAGUGGGAUCUCGCCUGUGAAUAGCCACUGCACUCCAGCCUGGGCAACAUAGCGAGACCCUGUCUCU
rnacentral:SRP_RNA from 1 species